CCCGCUGAACUUAAGCAUAUCAAUAAGCGGAGGAAAAGAAACCAACAGGGAUUACCUUAGUAACGGCGAGUGAAGUGGUAAUAGCUCAAAUUUGAAAUCUGCUUGCAGAGUUGUAAUUUGUAGAGGAUGUUUUGGGUUACGCGGCCGUUUAAAUUUCUUGGAACAGAAUGUCAUAGAAGGUGAGAAUCCUGUCUAGAACGGUCGUUGCGCCCGGUAAAACUCCUUCAAAGAGUCGAGUUGUUUGGGAAUGCAGCUCUAAAUGGGUGGUAAAUUCCAUCUAAAGCUAAAUAUUGGCCAGAGACCGAUAGCGCACAAGUAGAGUGAUCGAAAGAUGAAAAGAACUUUGAAAAGAGAGUUAAACAGUAUGUGAAAUUGUUGAAAGGGAAGCAUAUAUCAUUAGACUUGGUGGUGAUUUCCGUCCGACUUCGGUCGGGCCUAUUUUGACCCGCCAGGCCAACAUCAGUUUUGAUGAUCGGUGAAAGGCGUGGAGAAUGUACCUUCCUCCGGGCAGACUUAUAGCUCCGCGUGACAUACGAUCCAUCGGGACUGAGGUUUGAUGUUGGCAUAAUAAUGAUUUAUGACCCGUCUUGAAACACGG
rnacentral:rRNA from 1 species